GACCAGACUCCUACGGGAGGCAGCAGUGGGGGAUAUUGCACAAUGGGGGAAACCCUGAUGCAGCGACGCCGCGUGAGUGAAGAAGUAUUUCGGUAUGUAAAGCUCUAUCAGCAGGGAAGAAAAUGACAGUACCUGACCAAGAAGCCCCGGCUAACUACGUGCCAGCAGCCGCGGUAAUACGUAGGGGGCAAGCGUUAUCCGGAUUUACUGGGUGUAAAGGGAGCGUAGACGGUUAUGUAAGUCUGGAGUGAAAGCCCGGGGCCCAACCCCGGGACUGCUUUGGAAACUGUGUUGCUGGAGUGCUGGAGAGGCAAGCGGAAUUUCUAGUGUAGCGGUGAAAUGCGUAGAUAUUAGGAAGAACACCAGUGGCGAAAGCGGCUCUCUGGUCUGUAACUGACGCUGAGGUUCGAAAGCGUGGGUAGCAAACAGGAUUAGAUACCCCCGUA
rnacentral:rRNA from 1 species